UACGGAGGAGGCAAGCGUUAUCCGGAAUUAUUGGGCGUAAAGCGUCCGCAGGUGGCACUUCAAGUCUGUCGUCAAAGACUGGGGCUUAACCCUGGAAAGGCGGUGGAAACUGAAGCGCUAGAGUGCGGUAGGGGUAGAGGGAAUUCCCGGUGUAGCGGUGAAAUGCGUAGAGCUCGGGAAGAACAUCGGUGGCGAAAGCGCUCUACUGGACUGCAACUGACACUCAGGGACGAAAGCUAGGGGAGCGAAUGGG
rnacentral:rRNA from 1 species